GUUAGGAAUAUUGGACAAUGGGCGCAAGCCUGAUCCAGCCAUGCCGCGUGAACGAUGAAGGCCUUCGGGUUGUAAAGUUCUUUAGCCGAUGAUUAUAAUGACUGUAGUCGGAAAAUAAGCCCCGGCUAACUUCGUGCCAGCAGCCGCGGUAAUACGAAGGGGGCGAGCGUUAUUCGGAAUCACUGGGCGUAAAGCGUGCGUAGGCGGUCUCGUAAGUUAGGAGUGAAAGCCCAGGGCUCAACCUUGGAAUUGCUCUUAAAACUGCAAGGCUAGAAUCUCGGAGAGGAUAGCGGAAUUUCCAGUGUAGCAGUGAAAUGCGUAGAUAUUGGAAGGAACACCAGUGGCGUAAGCGGUUAUCUGGACGAGUAUUGACGCUGAGGCACGAAAGCGUGGGGAUCAAACAGGAUUAGAAACCCGUGUAGUCC
rnacentral:rRNA from 1 species